rnacentral:lncRNA from 1 species
UUAUAUCAUAUUAAAUAUUUAUUGAAUCUAAUUCAUUUUUACAAAAUUAAUUUAAAACGUGAAUGAUAUCUUUAUUUAUAAAAUAUAUUUAUGUUUUAUCUUUACUCAAUAUAGAUUUUAGAAUUUUUUCAAUAGUGUAUGUUUUUUAUAAUUACCUUUAACCUCAAUUUUCAUGUAAAGUGGUACUUUUUGUUGCAAAAGUUAAUAGAGAUAAAAAUUAAGGGGCUAAAUAAUUGCAGCUGAAGUUAAAAAACUUGUAGCUUAGGCCCAUACCUAUUACACCAAUGUUUCAAAUUCAAAUUACAUUUUUGAAAUAUUAUUUGCUUUAAGUCUUAAAUGUAAACUUUCAUGAUUUUAUUUUUAAUAAGAGACACUAAAUAGAUUAAAAUAUAUAUUUGUUAUUUAUAAACUACUAGUACUACUCUUUAACAAUGUAACCUUUUUGAAUUACUUGAAGAUCAGCCAAAUCACUUCAUCAAUGAUUUAAUUCAAUGAGAUCACUGUGAAGGCAUAAUUAUGUUGGGUUUUGGGCUCCCUUCCUAUGUGGAGAAAGGCCCAAUAUGUGCAAGUCCAUGUGUCUCACUUAUCCAAGUGGAGAGAGGUCAGAUUAGUGGGCGUAAAAGAGCUGAAUUCAGAGAGAGAGGCAAAGAGAAAAGUGAGAGAGGAAGAGCAAACCCUAUUUUCGCAUAAAACAGAGCAGCUGCACUAAAUUCGCGAUUUCUCCUUCGUUCACCGUCGGAUCGGGCUGAAAUUUGGACAGCAGGUUCGUGACUCUUGGUACUUCAUUCUGACCGUUUGGAUCAUCGAUCAGAGGUCUGAGGUGGGAGAAAUUGGAUUCGGACAGCAGCAGUUUUUCUGGUUUUUUUGCUGAACUUUUUUCUCAAUUUCAUGUUUGUUUUCUCAUUGUGUUGGCUGAUCGUUGUGCUAGUUACCUUGCUGCUUUUGGCUGGUUACUGAGCACGAAUUUGUGCCAUAUUAGAAACUCUUUGUACCCAUAUUUUGAUCAUAGUGGAGCUUUAUUACUGGCUUGGUCCCGUGGUUGUUUACUUCUCACAUUGAGAAGGUUUUUCCACGUUAAAAAAUUAUUGUGUCAU